rnacentral:rRNA from 1 species
CCUACGGGUGGCUGCAGUGAGGAAUAUUGGUCAAUGGGCGCGAGCCUGAACCAGCCAAGUAGCGUGAAGGAUGACUGCCCUACGGGUUGUAAACUUCUUUUAUAAAGGAGUAAAGUGAGGCACGUGUGCCUUUUUGUCUGUACUUUAUGAAUAAGGAUCGGCUAACUCCGUGCCAGCAGCCGCGGUAAUACGGAGGAUCCGAGCGUUAUCCGGAUUUAUUGGGUUUAAAGGGAGCGUAGAUGGGUUGUUAAGUCAGUUGUGAAAGUUUGCGGCUCAACCGUAAAAUUGCAAUUGAUACUGGCAGCCUUGAGUACAGUUGAGGUAGGCGGAAUUCGUGGUGUAGCGGUGAAAUGCGUAGAUAUCACGAAGAACACCGAUUGCGAAGGCAGCUCACGAACCUGCAACUGACGCUGAUGCUCGAAAGCGUGGGUAUCAAACAGGAUUAGAUACCCGAGUAGUC